AUUGAACGCUGGCGGCAGGCUUAACACAUGCAAGUCGAGCGGAGCGGCGGACGGGUGAGUAAUUCCUAGGAAUCCGCCUGGUAGUGGGGGAUCACGUCCGGAAACGGGCGCUAAUACCGCAUACUAUCAGACGAGCCUAGGUCGGAUUAGCUAGUUGGUGGGGUAAAGGCCUACCAGGGCGACGAUCGGUAACUGGACUGAGAGUAUGAUCAGUCACAAUGGAAAUGAGACACGGCCCAGCAUCCAAAGGGAGGCAGCGGAGGGGAAUAUUGGACAAUGGGCUAAAGCUUGAUGGAGCAAUGCCGCGUGUGUGAAGAAGGUCUUCGGAGUGUAAAACACUUUAAUUGGGGAUGCGGUACCAACAGAAUAAGCAACGGCUAACUCCGUGCCAGCAGCCGCGGUAAUAC
rnacentral:rRNA from 1 species